UUCCCCAGUACACAGCUGCAGCGUAGAUGUUUCGUGGGUAUUUAUUACCGAACACACCGUUUGGCUUAAAGACUCUGAACAUCCGUGGAAAGUUCUCCGAGGUUGUCACCAGACAAAGUUUCUGUCUAGGGACAGGGGACAGGAUUGGGGAGCAAAGACCUCCACUUCCUCAACGUUUGCUGGGUUUUCCAACAAUAAAAUGUUCCCUGACGAGAAAAAUGUAAACUGCCAGGUCGCCAUCUAGUGGCGAAAGUGGGAAUCGUCACGCGUUUAUUAAACCACGCGUAGAGAGACGGAUAAAACAGGACCUUCUUUUUCCUCCCCCACCCCCGCAACUCUUUCUGUGUGUUACUGGAGCUUGAACGCGAGGUCUUUGCCCUGAGCUACAUCCUCAGACCCUUUUUUAACGUUUUUGAGGUAGGGUCUCGCUAAAUUGUCAAAUUGCCUAUGUUAAGGGCCCAGGGAUUUAGCUCAGUGGUUCCGUCGCUUGCCUUACAAGCGCAAGGUCCAGAGUUCGAUCCCUGGUACAAACAAAACAAAACAACCAAAAAAAAAAAAAAAAAAAAAGAAAAGAAAAGAAAGAAAGAAAAGAAGAGCCCAUGCUAGGCUCGAAUUUACGAUCCUCCUGCCUCAUCCUCCCAAAGUGUUGUGUGCACCACCUCGCAAGACAGGGCUCAUUUCUGGACGAAAUCACAGACAUCCAAACAAAGAAGAAAAAUUGCCACAAUGGGCAUGCGGUGUCUUUGAUGAGAAUGUGUUCGCACGGGGAAAGGGAUGGAGGAAAUGAGCAGUUUUUGCACAUUUUGUCGUUUACUGUGCAGUAGGCAAUGUGGGGGCUGAGGACUCGCGAUUGUACUGGAGAUCACGCCCCCAACCCCUCGCCAGACCUUGUUCUGGCCAUGGCCACGCCCCCGAUGGAAAUGUCAUUUGAAAGCCACGCCUACAAACCAGCCUUCGGACCGCCCUCAAGGGGCGGGUCGUAACAAAGGACCAAUCAUUUCACAGAGGGGGGGGACUAACAUUCCUCGGAUUCGCGGUUGGAAGACGCGGCCGGUCCUGCCCUCCUGCAGUCUUCACCAAUCCGAAACCCGAAGUCACCUCCUCUUCCGCUUCCGGCAGAUCCCGAGCCGGAAAUGGAAGCCUAGUGCGUGGUCUUCGGUCACGGUCGUUCACUGCGUUCGUGAUCUGAGGCCGGUUACUCUUCUGUCCUGCACGCCUGGCUCCGCGUUUCCUUGUCAUCUGGACCUCGGCGAGGGUGGGCAGCGCGUGGGGGCGAAUCCGGGACCCUGCAGUCCUGGCAGGAGAUGCUGGGAGAGGGUGGGGUUUGCAUCGGCUCCGAGCAAAUCCGAGUCCCGUGUGAACCGGGUCACAGAGGGUCUGGACGGCGAAGAGGACCCGGCUCCGGUUUCCUCGGGAACCACGAGAGGAGAGAGCCCCGGAUUGUGUGCACUUGGGUCGGAAAUGGAUGCCGAUUGUUCCUGCGCUAGGGAAUCAGCUCCUGGGGCAGCAGAGGGGCUUCAUUCUUUCUGGCAGCUUUCGGUCACAAUAUGUGAUCGGUUGGUUGGUUUUAGAGGCAGCGUCUUGUCGUGCAGUUCAGUCUGGCCUCGAAUUCGUGGCCUCUUCCUGCCUCAGCCUCCGGAGAUUGGGGUUACAGGCCUACACCACCACGCACGGCUUACUGUCCGUGAUUGA
rnacentral:lncRNA from 1 species